GGGCCGGAGGCGCCUGAGGGGGAUUCCGUGCGGGAAUCAGCGGCGCCACCCAGCCCCGCACAUCGCGGAGAGCGGCCCGCGUGCUUCUGAGAGCGCGGCCCCUGACGUUUCUGCUGCGUGCUGGGACCAAACCUACAGGAAGCAAAACCCUAGAGGAAGAAGUCAGCGGCUUUUUGGCUCGGAGACAAAACGGAGCCCUGCGGGUGCAGCCUGGGCUCCCUCAGGCGCAUCCCCAGACGCUGCGGGUGUCCCGGAGGCCUUGAAGUCCUCCCGUGCGUCUCGAUGCCACCAGUUUGUUUCUUUGAGCCUGCUCUGUGGGAAUGUUCUUUUCAAGGGCGACAAUGGGGAAUGGCGGAACAACACUGGUGAAAUCACACAGCCCUGGAGCGCCAGGCCUUCCAGUCGCUUCAUAAUUAGAAAACAAAACACUCAGCUACAAUACAAAUGAUGUUUUUACACUCUC